UCUCCGUAGGUGAACCUGCGGAGGGAUCAUUACAGAGUUCAUGCCCUACCGGGUAGAUCUCUCACCCUAUGUUAUUAUUACUUUGUUGCUUUGGCGGGCCGUUAGGCUCCGGCCCGACUACCGGCCCCGGCUGGUAAGCGCCCGCCAGAGGACCCAAAACCCUGAAUAUUAGUGUCGUCUGAGUACUAUAUAAUAGUUAAAACUUUCAACAACGGAUCUCUUGGUUCUG
rnacentral:misc_RNA from 1 species